CCCAGGGCAUGCGUGGGUGAGCGAUAUUUACUCUCAAACCUCCGGUUUGGUCCUGCUUCGGCCUAAUAUCAACGGCGCUAGAAUAAGUUUUAGCCCCAUUCUUCUUCCUCACCCUCGUAAGAC
rnacentral:misc_RNA from 1 species